CUUCAACGUGGAAAGUUGUGAGCAAGAUCUAAACUAUACCUGUGUAUAUUGGGUUGACGGUGGAGAGCAGAUGACCUUCACGACAUGCCAUAAUGGAUUGUGUUACGACACCUACAAACAGCAGCUGCCGUAUGAGGACGCUGUGAACACGUGUUUGUACAAUUACGCCUCUCUGUUGUCAUUGAGCAAGACAGAACAAAAGUGGCUAAGGACAUACUUCAGAAACUUUUACGGAAAUAUGACACUGUGGGCGGGAUGGAAAUCGAUUGUCUCAGUGAAUGGUACCUAUGACAUCGUUCCAUCAGAUACAUCGAGUAAUGUCAAUG